GGGAUUGGUCAAGCUUGGUUUUGGGCAAUAGCACCCCACCUGACGUCCCCAAGGUCUCCUGACCCCCGCGACAUAUCUCCAGGUACCACUCUGUGGUCAACGAAUAAAAGCAGGAAGUUUCACCCUUCUGCACUUCCUCAUUUCAAGCUUGUAGGAUUAUGGGGUACCCAUCACAUGUGGUACUAGGUGGCGGUUGGGCGAUGGUGCAAAACAAGUUCUCCACAUCCACAAAUCACGUACAAACCCACCAUCCCCUGUUGCCCACCUCCAACUGAGCUCACGUACUCCCAUGUAGCCCUUAUCCUCAUUUCUCUCAACACCGGGUCCCCAUCAAUCCUCCCAAGCUUCCACAACAUCCAAGUAAUUCCACAUCCAAUCAUCAUGGACUAACAAAACCA
rnacentral:lncRNA from 1 species